UCAUAUUAGAGUUUGUUGUAUGUUGAAUCUUUCAUUUACAUUGAAAGGGUCUCUGUUUAUUAGAGUAAUAUG
rnacentral:tRNA from 1 species